rnacentral:rRNA from 2 species
UUUAUAUGAGAGUUUGAUCCUGGCUCAGGAUGAACGCCGGCGGUGUGCCUAAUACAUGCAAGUCGUACGCACUGGCCCAACUGAUUGAUGGUGCUUGCACCUGAUUGACGAUGGAUCACCAGUGAGUGGCGGACGGGUGAGUAACACGUAGGUAACCUGCCCCGGAGCGGGGGAUAACAUUUGGAAACAGAUGCUAAUACCGCAUAACAACAAAAGCCACAUGGCUUUUGUUUGAAAGAUGGCUUUGGCUAUCACUCUGGGAUGGACCUGCGGUGCAUUAGCUAGUUGGUAAGGUAACGGCUUACCAAGGCGAUGAUGCAUAGCCGAGUUGAGAGACUGAUCGGCCACAAUGGAACUGAGACACGGUCCAUACUCCUACGGGAGGCAGCAGUAGGGAAUCUUCCACAAUGGGCGCAAGCCUGAUGGAGCAACACCGCGUGAGUGAAGAAGGGUUUCGGCUCGUAAAGCUCUGUUGUUGGAGAAGAACGUGCG